GACUUCGUGGCUUUGUGGUAAAAGCCUUGCCUUGCAAUGCAGAGGUUGCUGGUUCAAAUCUGGCUUGUGUCU